rnacentral:rRNA from 1 species
CUACGGGUUGCUCCAGUGGGGAAUAUUGCACAAUGGGCGCAAGCCUGAUGCAGCCAUGCCGCGUGUAUGAAGAAGGCCUUCGGGUUGUAAAGUACUUUCAGCGGGGAGGAAGGGAGUAAAGUUAAUACCUUUGCUCAUUGACGUUACCCGCAGAAGAAGCACCGGCUAACUCCGUGCCAGCAGCCGCGGUAAUACGGAGGGUGCAAGCGUUAAUCGGAAUUACUGGGCGUAAAGGGCACGCAGGCGGUUUGUUAAGUCAGAUGUGAAAUCCCCGGGCUCAACCUGGGAACUGCAUCUGAUACUGGCAAGCUUGAGUGUCGUAGAGGGGGGUAGAAUUCCAGGGGUGGCGGGGAAAUGCGUAGAGAUCUGGAGGAAUACCGGCGGCGAAGGCGGCCCCCUGGACGAAGACUGACGCUCAGGUGCGAAAGCGUGGGGAGCAAACAGGAUUAAUACCCUCGUAGUC